rnacentral:lncRNA from 1 species
UGUCUAAGUGCCAUAGCAUUCCAUGAAAUUUAAAAAAAAAAUUAAAAAAAUCAUGUCAUCAAUAAAAAAACCAUUCAUAAAAUGAUAAUUUCUUAACACAGAAAGAUGAACACGAGUGGAUGCUCCCUAUGAAAUAUGAAAUGUCUUGAGUGGACAAAUCUACGCCCUUCUAUCUCUAAUUAGUAGAAGGAAAACAAGUGUAUAUUGUUUAAUUAUCAUUUUACUUUACUAGUCAUCAAAGGACAUAUGAUCAUAAUAAAAAUUCAUUA